rnacentral:rRNA from 1 species
AUUGAACGCUGGCGGCAGGCUUAACACAUGCAAGUCGAACGAGUGGCGGACGGGUGAGUAAUGCUUGGGAAUCUAGCUUAUGGAGGGGGAUCACUACGGGAAACUGUACCUAAUACCGCGUACCCUAGGAUGAGCCCACGUGGGUUUAGGUAGUUGGUGAGGUAAAGGGUCACCAAGCCGACGAUCCCUAGCUGGUCUGAGAGGAGGACCAGGCACACUGGGACUGAGUCACGGCCCAGACUCCUACGGGAGGCAGCAGUGGGGAAUAUUGUGCAAGGGGGGCAACUUGACGCAGCCAUGCCGCGUGAAUUAAGAAGGCCUUCGGGUUGUAAAGUUCUUUCGGUAGCGAGGCGUUAACUACAGAAGAAGCACCGGCUAACUCCGUGCCAGCAGCCGCGGUAAUAC